rnacentral:rRNA from 1 species
GGGGAAUAUUGGACAAUGGGCGAAAGCCUGAUCCAGCCAUGCCGCGUGUGUGAAGAAGGUCUUCGGAUUGUAAAGCACUUUAAGUUGGGAGGAAGGGCUGCAAGUUAAUACCUUGUAGUUUUGACGUUACCAACAGAAUAAGCACCGGCUAACUUCGUGCCAGCAGCCGCGGUAAUACGAAGGGCGCAAGCGUUAAUCGGAAUUACUGGGCGUAAAGCGCGCGUAGGUGGUUUGGUAAGAUGGAUGUGAAAUCCCCGGGCUCAACCUGGGAACUGCAUCCAUAACUGCCUGACUAGAGUACGGUAGAGGGUGGUGGAAUUUCCUGUGUAGCGGUGAAAUGCGUAGAUAUAGGAAGGAACACCAGUGGCGAAGGCGACCACCUGGACUGAUACUGACACUGAGGUGCGAAAGCGUGGGGAGCAAACA